CUUUUCCAUAAAGACACUCCCACUGUGGGAGUGUUAAGUCUUCCUUCCUCCACCAGGGUGCGACAGGCAGAAUCAGGAGCAAUCAGUGAGAGGACUUUAGCAGCUGGGACUCUGAAGCUCUGUUCAAGCCAUCAUCCUCCAUUAGUGCUCAGCUUAGGGAGAGCCUGCAGCAGCAUGGCCACGAUGACCUGAUGAACCAAAACCAGUUACCUGCCAGUUCCUCUGUGGAACACCCUGAAAGCAUGUGAAUGAAGCAGCUGGUCCUCCGUCCAUCACACCUACCGUUGCUCUGCCUUAGAUCACUGAACAGGGUCAUCUCCCAUUGCUUCUCUAAGAUUAAAGGACUUUGCAGGAGUAAAUUUUAAACAUGAAUGACAAAUGCAUACAUACCUCAGUGUUUGCGAUCAUGCUGGGCGACCCUGAUUGCAUUUUGUCUCUGCCUUCUGUCCUGCAGGUGGCGGUAUUUCAGCCAACCUACCAAAGCAGAUCGUGUAUAUAAACGUUAGCCAGAUUGUGCAUUUGUACUAUUAUCUUAUAUCAACGCCAUAAUACUUGUAUAAAUAGUGCAACGUCCUGUUCGUGUGUCUCACUUUGCUCGUCAAUAAGCAAGAGAAAAUGAGUCAAAACAAAUUAGAAAGUGUCACAAAAUGAAAUAACUUUGUUGCGCUGUAACUGCAGAGAUGAAAAAUCGAGAGAAAACCAGACCUCUCUCUCUCUCUCCGGGUCAGAACCUUAUAUUCAGUGGUGACUGGACUUUAGCUCUGCUGCUGCUGCAGGAGAGGAAGUGCCGCAGAUUUCCAUGUCUGCUUCCCAGGAUUUAGCGGCAGGGUUUUCGUCUGUUCACCUGCUGGGGUCAGCGCGAUACAGAGGAUGAGGAGUGUGUUUUCAUCCAGCUUUUUUCAAGGAACAAUCAGAUCUGCAGAGAGAAUCUCCAGGGCUGACCUUCCCUCUAUCCAGGACUUACACAGGUCAAGGGUCAGUUUCUCUGAUCAACAUAAAGAUCACCUCACACCCUGAGUACUCAGCUGCUCUGCUGGAAACAAAAAAGCUUAUUUGCACUAUAACACUUUUUUUUAAAGUGUUUUUACACAUUUUGCUUGUUUGGAUUAAAGUUGAUGUAAAAUGUGAGUUCUGGAAACAGAAUUCCUUGUUUGUGCUCACAAACUUGGCCAAUAAAGUUUCUGAAAACGCA